AUUGAACGCUGGCGGCAGGCCUAACACAUGCAAGUCGAGCGGAUGAAGGGAGCUUGCUCCUGGAUUCAGCGGCGGACGGGUGAGUAAUGCCUAGGAAUCUGCCUGGUAGUGGGGGAUAACGUCCGGAAACGGGCGCUAAUACCGCAUACGUCCUGAGGGAGAAAGUGGGGGAUCUUCGGACCUCACGCUAUCAGAUGAGCCUAGGUCGGAUUAGCUAGUUGGUGGGGUAAAGGCCUACCAAGGCGACGAUCCGUAACUGGUCUGAGAGGAUGAUCAGUCACACUGGAACUGAGACACGGUCCAGACUCCUACGGGAGGCAGCAGUGGGGAAUAUUGGACAAUGGGCGAAAGCCUGAUCCAGCCAUGCCGCGUGUGUGAAGAAGGUCUUCGGAUUGUAAAGCACUUUAAGUUGGGAGGAAGGGCAGUAAGUUAAUACCUUGCUGUCCUGACGUUACCAACAGAAUAAGCACCGGCUAACUUCGUG
rnacentral:rRNA from 1 species